rnacentral:rRNA from 1 species
UACGUAGGGCGCAAGCGUUGUCCGGAAUUAUUGGGCGUAAAGAGCUCGUAGGCGGUCCGUCGCGUCGGGAGUGAAAACCCGGGGCUUAACCCCGGGCCUGCUUUCGAUACGGGCAGACUAGAGUAUGGCAGGGGAGACUGGAAUUCCUGGUGUAGCGGUGAAAUGCGCAGAUAUCAGGAGGAACACCGGUGGCGAAGGCGGGUCUCUGGGCCAUCACUGACGCUGAGGAGCGAAAGCGUGGGGAGCGAACAGGAUUAGAAACCCCCGUAGUCC